GACGAACGCUGGCGGCGUGCUUAACACAUGCAAGUCGAACGGAAAGGCCCUGCUUUUGUGGGGUGCUCGAGUGGCGAACGGGUGAGUAACACGUGAGUAACCUGCCCUUGACUUUGGGAUAACUUCAGGAAACUGGGGCUAAUACCGGAUAGGAUCUCCUGCUGCAUGGUGGGGGUUGGAAAGUUUCGGCGGUUGGGGAUGGACUCGCGGCUUAUCAGCUUGUUGGUGGGGUAGUGGCUUACCAAGGCUUUGACGGGUAGCCGGCCUGAGAGGGUGACCGGCCACAUUGGGACUGAGAUACGGCCCAGAAUCCUACGGGAGGCAGCAGUGGGGAAUAUUGCACAAUGGGCGGAAGCCUGAUGCAGCAACGCCGCGUGCGGGAUGACGGCCUUCGGGUUGUAAACAGCUUUCGACUGUGACGAAGCGUGAGUGACGGUAAUGGGUAAAGAAGCACCGGCUAACUACGUG
rnacentral:rRNA from 1 species